AUACAAGUUUGGGAUAGUCUUAGUACAGCAAAACAGGGUAUGGUAUGAGUACUUAUGAUUUUAUAUUUUUUUUAUACUUGUGUAAUAAUUUUCAUGAAUGUGAAGUAGUUUGUACUUUAUAGAAGCAAUUUCAUUUUGUAAAUUUCCCGGAGUUUUUCCUAGGUUGUGUUAAGUUGAAAUUGUACUCGGAAAUUCUCUCAAUACAAGGAGUCUACCUUCGCUUAGAAAAAAAAUAUAAAAUCAUAAGUACUCAU
rnacentral:misc_RNA from 1 species